rnacentral:rRNA from 1 species
AUUGAACGCUGGCGGCGUGCUUAACACAUGCAAGUCGUGCGGUAACAGGCGUAGCAAUACGUGCUGACGAGCGGCGAACGGGUGCGUAAUACAUGGGAAUCUGCCCUUUAGUGGGGAAUAACCCGGCGAAAGCCGGGCUAAUGCCGCAUAAGAUCUUCGGAUGAAAGCGGGGGAUCGUAAGACCUCGCGCUGAUGGAUGAGCCCAUGUCGGAUUAGCUAGNGGUGAGGUAAAGGCUCACCAAGGCGACGAUCCGUAGCUGGUCUGAGAGGACGGCCAGCCACACUGGGACUGAGACACGGCCCAGACUCCUACGGGAGGCAGCAGGU